AUGUAGUAAAUGUGGCUUCCAAUGUAGAAAAUAUGAAUCAUAUUUUGAAAUAUCUGUAGUACUGCGGACAUAAACCAAGGCGUUAAAAAAUAGUAUAAAUUAAAAACCCCGCCCGCCCACUUUUUGGCAAAAGCUAUAAGGAUGCUAACCAACUAUUUCUUUUAUGUGGCCUAACUGCGUCUUAUAUGCGUGCACAAUCCGAAAUCGAACGCGUUUUUCUCAUGACGUAUUCGUACACGCCACUAGAGACUCCUGCCCACUGGCCUAUGUAACUCCAAUGCUCCUGCCAUGAAACACGUUAUUAUGAAACACGUCAAUAUAGAAUUGACUAAUACAGUAUUUUCAAUUGUUUGUAAAUGAUAUGUUGAAACAGAGACAGGAUAAGUACAAUAUAUGGUUAAACGUGAAAAGAGUCAGGUGUAAAUACAUCACUGUUGCACUUUUAUUGCGUGAUUGUGAAUUUCACUCGAAACCUUAGUGACUUACUUCUUCGCUGGUUCUUACUUUAUAAUAAUUCUG